rnacentral:rRNA from 1 species
UACGUAGGGGGGCAAGCGUUGUCCGGAUUUAUUGGGCGUAAAGAGCGUGUAGGCGGCCAGACAAGUCUGCUGUGAAAACUCGAGGCUCAACCUCGAGCUGUCGGUGGAAACUGUCUGGCUAGAGUCCGGAAGAGGAGAGUGGAAUUCCUGGUGUAGCGGUGAAAUGCGCAGAUAUCAGGAAGAACACCUAUGGCGAAGGCAGCUCUCUGGGACGGUACUGACGCUGAGACGCGAAAGCGUGGGGAGCGAACAGG